rnacentral:rRNA from 1 species
GAUCAUGGCUCAGGACGAACGCUGGCGGCGUGCUUAACACAUGCAAGUCGAACGAGAAUCUGCUGAAGGAGGAUUCGUCCAACGGAAGUAGAGGAAAGUGGCGGACGGGUGAGUAACGCGUGAGGAACCUGCCUUGAAGAGGGGGACAACAGUUGGAAACGACUGCUAAUACCGGAUGAAGCAUAGGGGUCGCAUGAUUCUUAUGCCAAAGAUUUAUCGCUUCAAGAUGGCCUCGCG